rnacentral:rRNA from 1 species
AUACGGAGGGUGCAAGCGUUGUCCGGAUUUAUUGGGUUUAAAGGGUGUGUAGGCGGUGUAUUAAGUCAGUGGUGAAAGCCUGCGGCUCAACCGUAGAACUGCCAUUGAUACUGACACACUUGAGUUUGGUUGAGGUAGGCGGAAUUUAUGGUGUAGCGGUGAAAUGCAUAGAUACCAUAAAGAACACCGAUAGCGAAGGCAGCUUACUAAGCCGAAACUGACGCUGAGGCACGAAAGCGUGGGGAGCGAACAGGAGUAGAAACCCCUGUAGUCC